ACAACACUCAUCAAUAACAAAGUUAGCAAGCCGAGGUCUUUGAGGGUUAACAGAAAUGGCUAUGGCGUCCUGGCGUGGUUCAUACAAGGAAUACGACAUCAGAAAACGGAACCCAAACCCUAAAACUUCGGUUCUCUUAGUAAUCGAUAUGCAGAAUUACUUCUCCUCCAUAGCCAAACCCAUAAUCCCCGCCAUCACCACCACUAUCGCCCUCUGCCGACGAGCCUCCAUCCCAGUAAUCUUCACGCGCCACUCCCACAAGUCCCCCGCCGACCACGCCAUGCUCGGCGAGUGGUGGGGCGGCGACCUUAUUCUGGACGGGACGACAGAGGCCGAGCUGAUGUCGGAGAUCGGGCGAAUGCCCACCGACAAGGUGGUGGAGAAGACCACAUACAGCGCGUUCAGGGGCACGCGCCUUGAGGAGUACUUGGCGGAGAGGAGCGUGGAGGAGGUCAUCGUGUCGGGGGUGAUGACGAACCUGUGCUGCGAGACGACGGCGCGUGAAGCGUUUGUGAGGGGCUUUAGGGUGUUCUUCUCCACGGACGCCACGGCGACGGCGACGCCGGAGAUGCAUGAGGCGACGCUGAUGAAUAUGGCUUAUGGAUUUGCGUAUCUGGUGGACCGUGAUCGCCUGGACAAGGGCCUGUUUGGGAAUUAGUAGUAGAUAUCAAGGAAACAGAGAAGAAUAUACAUGAAAAUGAAGAUCAUGAGAUUUUCAAGAAUUGAGGCAGACCUAAAACGGGAAGGAAGAAAGAAUGUUUGGCUAUGGAGAGUUGGGCAAUGCCAAUAUAGAACGUUCAGGGAUUCUGGGUGACCAUGAGAUGAAAACGUUUACGGAACAGGAGUUUGACCAU